CAAAACAUAACGGGGAGCUUGCAGGAGCGAAGGCGAGGCCGAACGCGAUAACACGCGACGGCCGCCCUAGCAACGGCAGGCUGAGAGGGGGCGCGCCCGCCCCGACUCGUGGAACCUGACAUGGGUAAUGCCAACGAAGGGAGCAUGCGUAUGGACACA
rnacentral:ncRNA from 1 species